rnacentral:rRNA from 1 species
UAGGGAAUCUUCCACAAUGGACGCAAGUCUGAUGGAGCAACGCCGCGUGAGUGAAGAAGGUUUUCGGAUCGUAAAGCUCUGUUGUUGGUGAAGAAGGAUCGAGGCAGUAACUGGUCUUUAUUUGACGGUAAUCAACCAGAAAGUCACGGCUAACUACGUGCCAGCAGCCGCGGUAAUACGUAGGUGGCAAGCGUUGUCCGGAUUUAUUGGUCGUAAAGCGAGCGCAGGCGGAAUGAUAAGUCUGAUGUGAAAGCCCACGGCUCAACCGUGGAACUGCAUCGGAAACUGUCAUUCUUGAGUGCAGAAGAGGAGAGUGGAAUUCCAUGUGUAGCGGUGGAAUGCGUAGAUAUAUGGAAGAACACCAGUGGCGAAGGCGGCUCUCUGGUCUGCAACUGACGCUGAGGCUCGAAAGCAUGGGUAGCGAACAGG